AUGAACGCUGGCGGCGUGCCUAAUACAUGCAAGUCGAGCGAACAGACGAGGAGCUUGCUCCUCUGACGUUAGCGGCGGACGGGUGAGUAACACGUGGAUAACCUACCUAUAAGACUGGGAUAACUUCGGGAAACCGGAGCUAAUACCGGAUAAUAUAUUGAACCGCAUGGUUCAAUAGUGAAAGACGGUUUUGCUGUCACUUAUAGAUGGAUCCGCGCCGCAUUAGCUAGUUGGUAAGGUAACGGCUUACCAAGGCAACGAUGCGUAGCCGACCUGAGAGGGUGAUCGGCCACACUGGAACUGAGACACGGUCCAGACUCCUACGGGAGGCAGCAGUAGGGAAUCUUCCGGAAUGGGCGAAAGCCUGACGGAGCAACGCCGCGUGAGUGAUGAAGGUCUUCGGAUCGUAAAACUCUGUUAUUAGGGAAGAACAAAUGUGUAAGUAACUAUGCACGUCUUGACGGUACCUAAUCAGAAAGCCACGGCUAACUACGU
rnacentral:rRNA from 1 species